rnacentral:rRNA from 1 species
UACGAGGGGAGCAAGCGUUGUUCGGAUUUACUGGGCGUAAAGGGUGCGUAGGCGGGUCUUUAAGUCAGGGGUGAAAUCCUGGAGCUCAACUCCAGAACUGCCUUUGAUACUGAGGAUCUUGAGUUCGGGAGAGGUGAGUGGAACUGCGAGUGUAGAGGUGAAAUUCGUAGAUAUUCGCAAGAACACCAGUGGCGAAGGCGGCUCACUGGCCCGGUACUGACGCUGAGGUGCGAAAGCGUGGGGAGCAAACAGG